rnacentral:rRNA from 1 species
GCCAGACUCCUACGGGAGGCAGCAGUGGGGAAUAUUGGACAAUGGGGGGAACCCUGAUCCAGCGACGCCGCGUGAGUGAAGAAGUAUUUCGGUAUGUAAAGCUCUAUCAGCAGGGAAGAAAGAAAUGACGGUACCUGACUAAGAAGCCCCGGCUAACUACGUGCCAGCAGCCGCGGUAAUACGUAGGGGGCAAGCGUUAUCCGGAUUUACUGGGUGUAAAGGGAGCGCAGACGGCAGUGCAAGUCUGGAGUGAAAGCCCGGGGCCCAACCCCGGAACUGCUCUGGAAACUGUGCGGCUAGAGUACUGGAGGGGCAGGCGGAAUUCCUAGUGUAGCGGUGAAAUGCGUAGAUAUUAGGAGGAACACCAGUGGCGAAGGCGGCCUGCUGGACAGUAACUGACGUUGAGGCUCGAAAGCGUGGGAAGCAAACAGGAUUAGAUACCCGGGUA